rnacentral:lncRNA from 1 species
AUAUCACAGUAUGGGAACAGACCAAUCACGAAUCAAGGCGUUGUAUGCCAGUCAUGAGUCUGUUCUCCGUUGACAACAUGGCAGCUCCUCCAGUGGCUCCUUGCUCAGAAGCACUCAUCAUCGAAAUUGAGCGGUGUCCAUGGCUAUGGAACGCAAGCCGUAUGGACUACAGGGACACUGGGAAGCGCAAAAAUUCCUGGAAGGCAAUUGGAAUCGCUUUCUCUAGGAUUCCAACCCACCAACUGGGGAUUCGAUUCUUUGGGCCGGCGGUUUGCCUCGGAGCCACAGAUGCGGCCUCCCUGCAGCUGUCUGUGACCAUUCACGUCCGAGUGGGCAGCGCACACCCACCCACAACCCACUGCUCGCACCUCUCGUUUGCGUACCUCGCAUAACCAUUUCCCAAAGUCAUGGCACGAAAUGGGAAGCCAUUAUUAAUCGAGCGAUCAGUAAUGAAGAGAUCAAACAGGCAGAACAUAAAAAGACUACAUUUCAAGAUGCUGAAGGAGGUUUGUAAAGUUUGGGUUGAAUACUGGCAAGCAAACCUGGUGCAUGUCUGUUGCACCUAUUGGCUGUCCUAAUUGAAGUUGUGUUAUAAAUCUAGUUCCAUCAUGAUUUCUGUUCUAAAACUUGUAUUCAUAAGCGAUACUUUAGUUAUUUAUGCCACAUUUACUUCAUUCACUUCAGGCAGCGACUCUAACGCCUGCUGUCAGGCUUGGCUGGCCAUGAGGGCCAAGUAUGCGAGAGAAUCGAAGAAACAAAGAGGCCGGAGCGGUGCUGGCCGCGAUGGUCUUGCCGUGCCAACAUGGCACCUCUUCAAGUAACUGGCCUUCCUUAAGGGCCAGAUUCAGCACCGACGGUGAUAUGCUACAUCACUUACUGCUAAGAACAAGCACAGUUGAUAUCGGGUCUGAGUUUAAAACAUUUUUACUCUCUUCCAUCAGCACCAAAGUGCUCCCUGUUGCGGGGGGAGUGGCGUCCACUUCUGCAGCGGCAGCAGACGUUGAAAAAUGAGGCGUGAGCCCAGAGGCAAGUUUGCUUACACGAGAUCCUUGCGGAAAUGUAUUGCCCUGGAGAGACCGCAACCCCCGCAGAAAAUAGACAGCCUGGGAUGCCUGCUGAUGCCGAGAUGGAAGACAUACUGGAGCAUGAAGACAUACAUUUUAUUUAACAACUGCCUUCGAUAAGCAUGUUUGCAAGUGGCUCCUGUGUAAUUACCCUUUUCUCACUCUCCUCUUUCAUUUAAGCGAUUGGCUAUUCUUGGAGGCAGGUCCAAA